UACGUAUGGUGCAAGCGUUAUCCGGAUUUACUGGGUGUAAAGGGAGUGUGGGUGGCAUGGCAAGUCAGAAGUGAAAGCCCGGGGCUCAACCCCGGGACUGCUUUUGAAACUGCCAAGCUAGAGUGCAGGAGAGGUGAGUGGAAUUCCUAGUGUAGCGGUGAAAUGCGUAGAUAUUAGGAGGAACACCAGUGGCGAAGGCGGCUUACUGGACUGUAACUGACACUGAGGCUCGAAAGCGUGGGGAGCAAAC
rnacentral:rRNA from 1 species